ACCAGCACUAAGUCAGCUGCCCAGGCGACAUGUCUGGCUCAGUGUUACAGUGCUGGAAGAGGAAGUCUCUGCAUAUGUCAUCGGCGCUGCAGGUUCUGUUCUAGAACCUGCCGUUGCUGAACGGCUGCAGAGCGUAGCCCGACGAGAGUGGCCCGUCCUGGACUCUCACCUGAACGGGCCUAGUGCUGGGCUAUACAUG